rnacentral:lncRNA from 1 species
AGGCUGUGCUCGGGGGCCGGCUGCUAAUGCAGGAGGUGGCAGCGACCACAGGCACAGGCAGUGCUUUUCUGACCAGUAAGGAGUCAUGCUGGAUAGAGUCAUGUAGCCUUUGUGUUGGAGGACAAUGACAGUACCCUGACUUCUCAGAACAAAAACACACCUGAAGGAUGUCAGCAUCCCACGACCGACACGACAGUCCUUACUGAAUCUGGCGGGAUGCUACUAAACGCCUGAUGGAAACACACAGAAGCAAAGGGAGGAAAUCACCACCAGGCUAAGCAGGAAAAACGUCAUCUUCUGGACACAUCAGCGCCACACCAGUUCACGAAUUGGUGAGCAGUGCACAAACACCAAUGUGGAGGCUAUCAAGAAGACAGAGCCAGAAAAACAGCCAGGGCUGGAACAGAUCACAGCAACUUCCUCAUUACCUGCGCAUUACAGAAGAGAUUUAGUGCUGAGAAUACAAUUAGCUCCAGUACCCUAUAAUGCCUUGCACUGUAAUUCAGCAGAGAUGUGUGCAACAAACGUGGCCACUUGGACGUCAGACACACAGAUGGAAGAAAGCUAGGCUUGCUCUUUGAGGUACGUACACAGAGCCUUUCACCAAGAAUCAGAAAGUUCAGGACCUACUGGUGAACGAUCCACAGACAUUGGCUUUUUUAUUUCUGUCUGUUGGUGUAAUGAUCGCUGUCAUUAAAGAAGUGUGCAUUGACAUCAGUGCUGUCACUAUGACUUCCACCACUAACUAUCACUUCCACCAGGGGGGAAGCAUUCCCUGCAUAAGCAGAAGGUGAAGUUAAAAAUUCAGCUACCUGGACCAUUUUUCACACCAAAUCAAAGAGGACGAGGAGGAUUGCCUUACUUGCUGGAGUCACCAUCCCUGCAGGUCUUUAAAAGACGUUUAGAUGUAGAGCUUAGGGAUAUGGUUUAGUGGAGGACUUGUUAGUGUUAGGUCAGAGGUUGGACUCGAU